rnacentral:lncRNA from 1 species
UAUUGUUCUUUGGUUUAUGAGUUUACUUUAAUCCUCUUCCGGUUGAGUAUUAGAGUAAUCAUUGCUAGCGUAAACGUGGUGUUUAGUCUAGGGUACUCAUAGAUAUCCCCUGACUAGCUGGACCGUGGUAGUAGCGAGGAAUGUGACAUUUUCGAGUUACCUUUGCAUCCCACAUCUCGUUAGCAGGACGGGUAGGUUUAUAGGUGCGGGUCGAACAUCCUUUGUGGUGUCUAGAUUCUGUAAGCUUCCCCAAUAGAACAGUAGAUCAUCCUUACCAAGGUUAGAACGAGACUACGGUUGCAGUCUUCUCUAUACAUCACUCACACCGAGAAACAUUCUUUGUAGCCUAAAGGGAUAGUAGCAAUAGAUUUGGUUAGUCAGAUGCACCCUUUC